rnacentral:rRNA from 1 species
CACGUAGGGCGCAAGCGUUGUCCGGAAUUAUUGGGCGUAAAGAGCUCGUAGGCGGUCUGUUGCGUCCGCUGUGAAAACUCGGGGCUUAACCCCGAGCCUGCAGUGGAUACGGGCAGACUAGAGGUAGGUAGGGGAGAAUGGAAUUCCCGGUGUAGCGGUGAAAUGCGCAGAUAUCGGGAGGAACACCGGUGGCGAAGGCGGGUCUCUGGACAGUUCCUGACGCUGAGGCACGAAGGCCAGGGGAGCAAACGGGG